GAUAUAGAGACUCUCUGCACCUGCACUCGUAGAGGACGAACAGGUAACCGCGUAACCACGAACCAUGGGAUCACAAUAGAAAAUAAUGAAGCGACCUUACUGGAUACCGCUGGGAAUAGCAAUAGUGGUUUCUUUCCAGAUGAGAAAGGAUUAUAGAAAGAGCAAUAAAGGAGGACAAUGCAAAUCACGUGUAAUGGUUCUAGACAAAGUUGAACUCUUAAAACUGAUAACUGGAUGAAUAGACUCGUUAACAACGAAUUGAUACUAUCACGUGGCGGAGGGGAGAUCUGUUCGAGUUUCCUAUAUAUCCUGGCAUAUACGAGUGAGAUUUUAUCACAUCGCCAUGCAAAUAAUGUCAGGAAUAUAGGUUGCCAGCUGUGAAUUGUAUGCAUCGACAUUAAACUGAAUGGAC